AGGGAUUUAGGCUAAUUUCUUAAACCAAGAACCUUCAAAGCUCUAAAUAAAAGUGAAAAUCUUUUAAUCCCUA
rnacentral:tRNA from 1 species